UACGUAGGCAGCGAGCGUUGUUCGGAGUUACUGGGCGUAAAGGGUGCGUAGGCGGUCUGACAAGUCUGAUGUGAAAUCUAUGGGCUCAACCCAUAGUCUGCAUCGGAAACUGUCGGGCUUGAGUAUGGGAGAGGUGAGUGGAAUUUCCGGUGUAGCGGUGAAAUGCGUAGAUAUCGGAAGGAACACCUGUGGCGAAAGCGGCUCACUGGACCAUUACUGACGCUGAGGCACGAAAGCUAGGGGAGCAAACGGG
rnacentral:rRNA from 1 species